UACGGAGGGUGCGAGCGUUAAUCGGAAUAACUGGGCGUAAAGGGCACGCAGGCGGGCUUUUAAGUGAGAUGUGAAAUCCCCGGGCUUAACCUGGGAAUUGCAUUUCAGACUGGUAGGCUAGAGUAUUGUAGGGGGGGGUAGAAUUCCACGUGUAGCGGUGAAAUGCGUAGAGAUGUGGAGGAAUACCGAUGGCGAAGGCAGCCCCCUGGACAUGUACUGACGCUCAGGUGCGAAAGCGUGGGGAGCAAACAGG
rnacentral:rRNA from 1 species